rnacentral:rRNA from 1 species
AUUGAACGCUGGCGGCAGGCCUAACACAUGCAAGUCGAACGAGUGGCGGACGGGUGAGUAAUUGCUGAGAACGUGGCUGACGGAGGGGGAUAACUAAUGUAACCGGUAGCUAAUACCGCAUACAGCCGGUUGUGCUCAGAGUGGAUUAGCUAGCAGGUGGGGUAAAGGCUAACCUAGGCGUCCAUCCCUAGCUGGUCUGAGAGGCUGACCAGCCACACUGGAACGGAGACACGGUCCAGACUCCUACGGGAGGCAGCAGUGGGGAAUAUUGCACAAUGGGCGCAAGCCUGAUGCAGCAAUGCCGCGUGUAUGAAGAAGGCCUUCGGGUUGUAAAGUACUUUCAGCGGGGAGGCGUUACCCGAAGAAGAAGCACCGGCUAACUCCGUGCCAGCAGCCGCGGUAAUUC